AACAGGUCCCGUAUGAUCCCCGAAGUUAAGCAACGUCGAACCUGGUCAGUACCUAGAUGGGUGACUCCUUGGGAAUAUC